CCUACGGGUGGCUGCAGUGGGGGAUAUUGGACAAUGGGGGAAACCCUGAUCCAGCGAUGCCGCGUGAGGGAAGAAGGUUUUCUGAUUGUAAACCUCCGUGGAGGGGGACGAUAAUGACGGUACCCCUUUAGGAAUCCACGGCUAACUACGUUCCAGCAGCCGCGGUAAUACGCAGGUGGCGAGCGUUGUCCGGAAUGACUGGGUGUAAAGGGAGUGUAGGCGGGAAAGCAAGUCAGAAGUGAAAGCUAUGGGCUUAACCCAUAGCGUGCUUUUGAAACUGUUUGUCUUGAGUGAAGUAGAGGCAGGCGGAAUUCCUGGUGUAGCGGUGAAAUGCGUAGAUAUUAGGAAGAACACCAGUGGCGAAGGCAGCUUGCUGGGCUGUGACUGACGCUGAGGCUCGAAAGCGUGGGGAGCAAACAGGAUUAGAUACCCGAGUAGUC
rnacentral:rRNA from 1 species